rnacentral:rRNA from 1 species
AGCGCAGGUGGGAAAGUAAGUCUGCUUUAAAAGUGCGGGGCUCAACCCCGUGAGGGAGUGGAAACUACUUUUCUUGAGUGCAGGAGAGGAAAGCGGAAUUCCUAGUGUAGCGGUGAAAUGCGUAGAUAUUAGGAGGAACACCAGUGGCGAAGGCGGCUUUCUGGACUGUAACUGACACUGAGGCUCGAAAGCCAGGGGAGCGAACG